GUGGUCCUACGGGGGGCAGCAGUAGGGAAUCUUCCACAAUGGGCGCAAGCCUGAUGGAGCAACACCGCGUGAGUGAAGAAGGGUUUCGGCUCGUAAAGCUCUGUUGUUGGGGAAGAACGUGCGUGAGAGUAACUGUUCACGCAGUGACGGUAUCCAACCAGAAAGUCACGGCUAACUAUUUGCCAGCAGCCGCGGUAAUACGUAAGUGGCAAGCGUUAUCCGGAUUUAUUGGGCGUAAAG
rnacentral:rRNA from 1 species